UGGGGAAUCUUGGGCAAUGGGCGAAAGCCUGACCCAGCGACGCCGCGUGGGGGAUGAAGGCCCUCGGGUUGUAAACCCCUUUCAGCGGGGACGAAGCGAAAGUGACGGUACCCGCAGAAGAAGCCCCGGCUAACUACGUGCCAGCAGCCGCGGUAAGACGUAGGGGGCGAGCGUUGUCCGGAUUUAUUGGGCGUAAAGCGCGCGCAGGCGGCCCGUUAAGUCGGUUGUGAAAACCCGAGGCUCAACCUCGGGCCUGCAUCCGAUACUGGCGGGCUUGAGGCAGGUAGGGGAGAGUGGAAUUCCCGGUGUAGCGGUGAAAUGCGCAGAUAUCGGGAGGAACACCGGUGGCGAAGGCGGCUCUCUGGGCCUGUCCUGACGCUCAGGCGCGAAAGCUGGGGGAGCGAACAGG
rnacentral:rRNA from 1 species